UCUGGGUCACUUGCUCUUCGGGUCCGCGAGUUGGAGCAACAGGUCGCCACAAUGAAGAAAAUCUUGAUUUGUCUCCUCUUUUGCUGCCUGGUGGCUCAUCUGAACGCGAAUCAAAAACCUAUUGAUCAGGGGAAGUUGAAUUAUACAAGCAGUGUGGAAGACCCAAAAGGAAAUGGAGCUGUCGUAUGUAUCCCAGCCACUGCCGUGGUCCUGCUUCUGUCCCUGCUCCCAGUCGCCCUGCAGAAAGCUACGUGCUAACUCAGUGGCCCCCAGCAGCCAUCUUCAGCCAGCUCAUGUGUCGCCAUGGAGACCAUCCUGUCCUGCUAACCUUCAUUCUCCAAUGUGUGCUCAAGAUCGGCCACCGAAAUGAGUCCACUGAUGUCUGAUCACCGACUGACACCCGCUCCUCAUUCUUCAGCCCACUCUACCUUUUACUGCCUGCCCUCCUGCAUAAGUCCUGUAAAUAAUCUCACAAAACCACCAUUGUCAAAAAGGAGAGAGAGAGAUAAUUGGCAGGUAACCUAAAAUGUUGUGGAAGGUAAUAGAACAGGAAGCAGAACAGCUUCAUACUUCCCCAUUCUCUGUAAGAUAUGUUGCCUGUUGGCUUCAAGCUAUGUAUAAUUUCACAACAAUAAAAUCAUUUUAAUAUUG